rnacentral:lncRNA from 1 species
AUAAUUUUAUGAUUUGCAUAUUUCUAUAAAAAUAUUCAUCUUUAAGGCUUUUCAUAGAUCAUUUGCUGAAAUCAGAAGGAAGACUAAACUGAUCCUGGGCAUAACCAUGUUUGUCUGAGGAGCCAUCUGGAACCAUUCUAGUUAGGAAAAUAAUGGACAAAUCAUCUGUUUAUGUCUUGUUCAUUCCCUGAAGCUUCGUUUCCUAUCUUCUUCCGACAAAGAGGAGUCUUCUGCAUUGUGUUUCCCCACCAGCAUCUGCCUUUCCAAUCUACUAUGAGCAAUGCAUUCAGAUUUCUGACUCCGUACUCGAAAACUCUGCUACAUACCAUGCAAAGCACAGAGACUUUAACUCGGUUAAUCAGGACUCAACCCCCACAAAGAAUCAGCCACGUUUCAUACAUCCUGUUGUUGAACAAACAUGAAAGUGGGGCAACUCCUCCGAUCCCCCAGUAGCCAUCAGGGACUAUGCUGUGCACUUGAGCAGAAGGUAAGGUAAACCGAAGUGGCCUUCCUCCUUAUGAAGCCUACAGCCUAUUGGGAAGCUAAUCUUGCGUUAGUAUUCUUGUUCUACUCAUUCCUAGCUGGGUGCCUGAGCAAUGACUUAACCUUUCUGAAUUGUUUUGUGCAUUAAAUGGUGAUUAAGGAGGGGAGAAUACUUAACCUUACUGAGUUGCUGUAAGAAUUAAAUGUUCCUGGUCCAGUCCAUUUAUUAUAAAGUUAUUCAAUGAAGGUAAAGACUUCUUUCCAGUCUCCCCAACUAGCUACAUCCCAGAUUUAGCAACUUCUCCUUUGAAAACUCAUGCCAGUCGUUGUCUCAAGGCUUCCUCCAAUACUGCUAGUUUCAUUUUCUCUGAUUUCUAAAUCUUCAUUUAUCAUGUGCCUUCCCUUAUUAUCAUAGGCAUUAUUAGGAUGAUCAUAUUUAUUAACACUUCUUUCACCAUAAUUGCUAUUGCCAUUUUUAAAAGCCUUACUGUGACCUAGGACUUACGUUUAUUUGAUCAUGAUUAAAGAAAAUAUAUUAUUCUCAUUUUACAGAUGAGAAAACUAAAAUUUGCUGUUAAAUGGGAAGGGGUUAAGUAGCUUACCAGCUGAUAUGACAUCAUUUAGCUAGUAAGUCUUGAAAUCAGGAUUCAAAUCUUUACCUGCUUGACUCCAAAACCCACACUCUUAGCCUCUAUUAUGGGUCUUGUUACAGGCUCCUACCCUGUAGCGAGCUUGUCUUGGAUAGUCUGUUAAAAGACACAUUUAUUAAAUUAUCACAUCUCUUAAUAUCUUUAUUAAAAGCAUAAAUUAUGUUUUUAUGUAACACCUCUGUAUCAUCC